UAGAAUGGGUUGCCAUGUCAUCCUUCAGGGGAACUUCCCAACCCAGGGACCAAACUGUCAUCUCUUACAUCUCCUGCAUUGGCAGGCGGGUUAUUUACCACUAGCAUUAAAUGUCAAAUAAGUGAUAUUUACUUAGAGCAGAUGGAGAUUAUGCUAGGUAAAAUAACUAAAGAAAUAUUUUGGAGGAAAGAAGCCUUAAGCUUAAACCUGAAGGGUGGAUAUAAUUCAUAAGUGAUUGGCAAUUCCCGCCGCCACCCCCACCCCCCCCUCCACAUUCAGGCAUUUCAGAGCACUUCCUUGGGUUAGGCCUUAGGCUGGCCACAGAAGAUUUAAAUACCCUAAGGGGAUCCUGCCCACAAGAAGCUUACAGUGAAGAGAGACAAACGAAUACAGUUCAGGGUACUGGCGUCUCAGGCCUCUGUGAUCUACAGAAAACCGUGAUCUCAGGUGAGAUUCCAUAAAAAUCAACUGCCUUCUGAUUUUAAAAGUCAUAAGUCACAGAGUCAACUUGGGACCCUUCAGUUGUCUCUCUCCUUAAUAAUCUUAUUUUCUCUUGUAAUUAAAAUCUUUCAUCCUUUUGGAUUAAAAAUGUGAAACAGUGAAAUCAAAAUAGUGAGCUGAAAAAUCACAUUUAGCUGGAAAAUUUGCAAGAUCAAGGCAUCUCAAACCUGAGGAUCUUGUUAAAAUGCAGGUUCUGAUUUAGAAGGUCUAGGGCAGGCUGAAGUCUGCAUUUUUUACAUACUCCUAGUGAUGCUGAUUCUGCUAGGGGGUAGAUGCGGGCAGUACACUUUCAGUAGUGAAGUUCUAAGUGAUUGAUGGUUCAUUUAAAGGCACAGUAAUAUGAGGCUGUGAAAGUCAAGCAAGAUACUUACAUUUUAGGAUUGUAUGCAUACCAAGAACAACAGCAAUAAAAAAAUCUACUUAACUAGGACAAUACAGCAUGGAGGUUUCUCUCUUUUCAAUCUCAAGUAUCAAAUCUUUCUGACAAGUGUGAAGAGUUAACUCUCUCUCAAACAUUUGUGUUAGUGUUUUCCGAAGUGUGAUGAUAAAUGCACUGUGAGUGCUCAGUCGGGUCCCCAGCUCUUUGUGAGACUGGACUGUAGCCCACAGGCUCGCCUGUCCAUGGGAUUUUUCAGGCAAGAAUACUGGAGUGGGUUGCCAUUUACUCUUCCAGGGGAACUUCCCCACUCAGAGAUCGAGCCCUAGUCUCCUGCACUGCAGACACAUUCUUUACCCCUGAGCCAUCGGGGAAGCCCCAGAGAAUGUUACUUACAGUAAAAUUUGAGAAUCACUGGUUUAGGCACACAGGAAAGUUAAUUAAAUACUUUGGGAACAGGAUUUCAGAAAGACACUAAUACUUUCAAAAGACAAUUUCAAGACAUUUUUUGGUUUUGAUAUAAAUUAAGCCAGAGAUAAGGGGCUUUGCUCAGUGGUAGAGAAUUCGCCUGCCAACACAGGAGACAAGGGAUCGAUCCCUGCAUCAGGAAGCUCCCCUGGAGAAGGAAAUGGUAACCCACUCCAGUAUUCUUGCCUGAAAACUCCCAUGAACAGAGAAGAUUGGUGGGGUCAGCAAGUCGGACACGACUGAGCACCCAAGCAUACAAGCCAGAAAUAAAUAGAUGAGGUUGAAGGAAAAGGAGGAGGUGAAAACUUUAUGCUGUUGUUUAAUUUUUCCAUUUCACAAAUUUUACCAAUUGGUGAUUUUUUUAGGUUAGCCCUUAAUAACUGACACUUAUCCAAAAGACUUGCUUUUGCUUUUUAAAAAUUGUCUUGAUUGCUUUAAUGUGUUUUCAUUUUCCUUUGCAUUCUUUGGUGAGGAUUGAGGUUUGGCAAUUUGUCGUCUUAGAUAAUGCCAUCAAAUCUGUUGAUAAGUUAGUUAAUCUAAAGAAAGAAUCCUCAGCUGUUUCUUGUAUUUAAAGAGACAUAUGUUUUAUGCAGAAAAGCACAUGCCUAGAAGGGUUUGUAAACUUUAUAACACUUUUUGUUGAUUUUGCUUUAUCUUUCAUCUUAAAGUUGUUGUGAUUCUUUUGUUUGUUUUUUGGUGCAAUGCACUCAGUAUGAAAUGUGAUAACUAAAAAAUCUCUUCAAAAUAAUAUUUGUUUCUUAACAGAAAUUGAAGUAAUGAUGAAUUUUCAAUGCCUCUGUUAGGUGGCUCGGGUAAAGAACCCACCUGCCCGUGCAGGAGACAUAAGAGACAUGGGGUUUGAUCCUUGGAUCGGGAAGAUCUCCUGGAGGAGGGCUUGGCAACCCACUCCAGUAUUCUUGCCUGGAGUAUCCCAUGAACAGAGGAGCCUGGUGGGCUACAGUUCACAGGAUCGCAAAGAGUCAGACACGACUGAAGUGACUUAACAUCCACGUACCCAGGGCUCUAGAGCCUUUUCAAUCUCUCUUUUCCCUGAUUCCCUUCCUAUCACAUUUCAACUGACUGUAAAAUGAAGCACCAGCAGGUGGUUCAGGACCACGGAGAGCGUGAGGAAGAGGCACUACCAACAUAUUCUAGUCAUACAUGUGGGGGAAAAGAUGUUCCUGAAAUAGUUGCUGGACAACUUUCACUUAAAGGACAUUAUUGUAAUGAAGAAAAGUAGAAUCUUGAUUCUCUGAUAUUUGGGAGAAGGUAUUUUUCUGGACAUUGUGUCAGUGUUUUCUAAACUUCUUCAUCGAAUUCUAUGAAACGAAAGACAAGAAGACACCAAAAGUCAGCAGAGCCAGAAACUGCCAGUGCAAAACCUCUUUUGAAGUUUCAUGUUUAUGAUGUGCGGCCUUUUAUGGAAAAUUUCACAUUUUUUAACAGUUAUGAGCCUCACCCAUCUACUGUAGAAGAGAAUGAAAUCAUUCAGAGAUACAUGAAGCUGAGGAUGGAUAAUUAGAGGAGUGUGUGAAGGCUCCAGUCUUAUGUUUCUAGAACUGCCCUGGGAACUCGCAGCUUGUCCUUCAGUUCUGUGAACUACCAGAAUCCUUUCAGUGGUUUUCCUCUUCUGUCCUUUUAGUUUCCGUAAGCUAGAUUCAUUUGAGUUUUGUUACUUGCAACUGUGUCCUACUACU